CAUGCAAGUCGAACGCACCGCAAGGUGAGUGGCGAAAGGGUCAGUAAUACGAUCGAACGUGCCCAGAGGUGGGGGAUAGCGUCGGGAAACUGACGGUAAUACCCCAUGUGCUCGCAAGAGGAAAGAUUUAUCGCCUCCGGAGCGGCGAUCGUCCUAUCAGGUAGUUGGCGGGGUAAUGGCCCACCAAGCCUUAGACGGGUAGCAGGUGUGAGAGCACGACCUGCGACAUCGGGACUGAGACACUGCCCGGACUCCUACGGGAGGCUGCAGUAACGAAUCUUCCGCAAUGGGCGAAAGCCUGACGGAGCAAUGCCGCGUGUGGGAUGAAGCGUCUCUGACGUGUAAACCACUGUCAGGGGGUGGAACCAAUGAUUACCCCCAGAGGAAGUGGCGACUAACUCUGUGCCAGCAGUCGCGGUAAUACAGAGGCCACGAGCGUUAAUCGGAAUCACUGGGCUUAAAGGGUGCGUAGGCGGCUCAUCAAGCGUCCCGUGAAAUCCCCCGGCUCAACCGGGGAACAGCAGGGCGAACUGAUGAGCUUGAGGGAGGUAGGGGCUGACAGAACAGUCGGUGGAGCGGUGAAAUGCGUAGAUAUCGACUGGAAUGCCGAUGGGGAAGCCGGUCAGCUGGGCCUUACCUGACGCUGAGGCACGAAAGCGUGGGGAUCAAACAGGAUUAGAUACCCUGGUAGUCCACGCCCUAAACGAUGUCAACUGGUUGUUGGGUCUUCACUGACUCAGUAACGAAGCUAACGCGUGAAGUUGACCGCCUGGGGAGUACGGCCGCAAGGUUGAAACUCAAAUGAAUUGACGGA
rnacentral:rRNA from 1 species